rnacentral:rRNA from 1 species
UGGGGAAUUUUGGACAAUGGGCGAAAGCCUGAUCCAGCAAUGCCGCGUGUGUGAAGAAGGCCUUCGGGUUGUAAAGCACUUUUGUCCGGAAAGAAAUCCUCUGGGUUAAUACCUCGGGGGGAUGACGGUACCGGAAGAAUAAGCUCCGGCUAACUUCGUGCCAGCAGCCGCGGUAAUGCGAAGGGAGCUAGCGUUGUUCGGAAUUACUGGGCGUAAAGCGCAUGCAGGCGGAUCGUUAAGUCGAGGGUGAAAUCCCAGGGCUCAACCCUGGAACUGCCUUCGAUACUGGCGACCUUGAGUCCGGGAGAGGUGAGUGGAACUCCGAGUGUAGAGGUGAAAUUCGUAGAUAUUCGGAAGAACACCAGUGGCGAAGGCGGCUCACUGGCCCGGUACUGACGCUGAGAUGCGAAAGCGUGGGGAGCAAACA